AUAGUAAAAUUAUAAGAAAAGUAACAAUGAUUUGACAAAGUUUAAAUAACUAAAAGAUUGUGAAUAUGUGUGUCCUAGAUAUGAAGCAUUUUAUAUCAUUUCUUUUCCUCAGUGCAACAUGCUGAAUAAUUUAUGCUCUUCAUAUGGAAAAUUCAUUCUUGGUAAGGGUAUAACUCGAUCAAAUUUAAGUGAUACAGCUCAAAUUUUAUAAUUUAAGUGAUACAGAUCAAAUUUUAUUCUGCUCCCCUUUAUUUAAAAAUUUCCAUCUGACAUCCAUGCAUAUUGACAUACACAGCACACCUUGUCGUGAGAAAAACAUCAAUAAAAU